UACAGAGGGUGCAAGCGUUAAUCGGAAUUACUGGGCGUAAAGCGUGCGUAGACGGUUAUUUAAGUCAGGUGUGAAAGCCCCGGGCUCAACCUGGGAAUUGCAUUUGAGACUGAAUAGCUAGGGUGCGGAAGAGGGAAGCGGAAUUUCCGGUGUAGCGGUGAAAUGCGUAGAUAUCUGGAGGAACACCGGUGGCGAAGGCGGCAUCCUGGACCGGCAUUGACGCUGAGGAGCGAAAGCCAGGGGAGCAAACGGG
rnacentral:rRNA from 1 species